rnacentral:rRNA from 1 species
UAGGGAAUCUUCCACAAUGGACGAAAGUCUGAUGGAGCAACGCCGCGUGAGUGAAGAAGGGUUUCGGCUCGUAAAACUCUGUUGUUAAAGAAGAACAUAUCUGAGAGUAACUGUUCAGGUAUUGACGGUAUUAACCAGAAAGCCACGGCUAACUACGUGCCAC